UUGGAUCACCAGUGAGUGGCGGACGGGUGAGUAACACGUAGGUAACCUGCCCCGGAGCGGGGGAUAACAUUUGGAAACAGAUGCUAAUACCGCAUAACAACAAAAGCCACAUGGCUUUUGUUUGAAAGAUGGCUUUGGCUAUCACUCUGGGAUGGACCUGCGGUGCAUUAGCUAGUUGGUAAGGUAACGGCUUACCAAGGCGAUGAUGCAUAGCCGAGUUGAGAGACUGAUCGGCCACAAUGGAACUGAGACACGGUCCAUACUCCUACGGGAGGCAGCAGUAGGGAAUCUUCCACAAUGGGCGCAAGCCUGAUGGAGCAACACCGCGUGAGUGAAGAAGGGUUUCGGCUCGUAAAGCUCUGUUGUUGGAGAAGAACGUGCGUGAGAGUAACUGUUCACGCAGUGACGGUAUCCAACCAGAAAGUCACGGCUAACUACGUGCCAGCAGCCGCGGUAAUACGUAGGUGGCAAGCGUUAUCCGGAUUUAUUGGGCGUAAAGCGAGCGCAGGCGGUUGCUUAGGUCUGAUGUGAAAGCCUUCGGCUUAACCGAAGAAGUGCAUCGGAAACCGGGCGACUUGAGUGCAGAAGAGGACAGUGGAACUCCAUGUGUAGCGGUGGAAUGCGUAGAUAUAUGGAAGAACACCAGUGGCGAAGGCGGCUGUCUGGUCUGCAACUGACGCUGAGGCUCGAAAGCAUGGGUAGCGAACAGGAUUAGAUACCCUGGUAGUCCAUGCCGUAAACGAUGAGUGCUAGGGUGUUGGAGGGUUUCCGCCCUUCAGUGCCGGAGCUAACGCAUUAAGCACUCCGCCUGGGGAGUACGACCGCAAGGUUGAAACUCAAAGGAAUUGACGGGGGCCCGCACAAGCGGUGGAGCAUGUGGUUUAAUUCGAAGCUACGCGAAGAACCUUACCAGGUCUUGACAUCUUGCGCUAACCUUAGAGAUAAGGCGUUCCCUUCGGGGACGCAAUGACAGGUGGUGCAUGGUCGUCGUCAGCUCGUGUCGUGAGAUGUUGGGUUAAGUCCCGCAACGAGCGCAACCCUUGUUACUAGUUGCCAGCAUUAAGUUGGGCACUCUAGUGAGACUGCAGGUGACAAACCGGAGGAAGGUGGGGACGACGUCAGAUCAUCAUGCCCCUUAUGACCUGGGCUACACACGUGCUACAAUGGACGGUACAACGAGUCGCAAGCUCGCGAGAGUAAGCUAAUCUCUUAAAGCCGUUCUCAGUUCGGACUGUAGGCUGCAACUCGCCUACACGAAGUCGGAAUCGCUAGUAAUCGCGGAUCAGCAUGCCGCGGUGAAUACGUUCCCGGGCCUUGCACACACCGCCCGUCA
rnacentral:rRNA from 1 species